GUGCUUGUUUCACAGUACAUAUACUAAAAUCAGAAUGAUACAGAAAAGUUAGCCAUGAUUCCUGAACAAGGAUGACACGCAAAUCCAUGAAGUGUUCCAUAUUUUU
rnacentral:snRNA from 1 species